rnacentral:rRNA from 1 species
ACUCAAAUGAAUAGACGGGAGCUCGCACAAGCGGUGGAGCGUGUGGCUUAAUUCGUCGCUAAACGAAGAACCUUACCAAGAUUAGACAUCCUACUGCACGCCCUAGGAAACUAGGGAAGCCUUCGAGGGUGUAGGACAGGUGAUGCACGGCUGUCGUCAGUUCGUGGUUUGAAUCGUUCCCUUCAGUGGGGUAACGAACGCAACCCUCGUUGCCAGUUACAAGUGUCUGGCGAGACUGCCCCCUCACGGGGGAGGAAGGUGAGGAUGACGCCAAGUCAGCGUGUCCCUUUGAUAUCUUGGGCCGCACACGCGCUACAAUCGCCGUUACAAAAGGACGCAAUGCCGUAAGGCGGAGCAAAUCCCAAAAAGCGGCGCCAGUUCGGAUUGAGGGCUGCAACUCGCCCUCAUGAAGCCGGAAUCGCUAGUAAUCGUAGGUCAGCUAUACUACGGUGAAUACGUUCUCGAGCUUUGUACACACCGCCCGU